rnacentral:rRNA from 1 species
CACACCGCCCGUCACACCAUGGGAGUUGGUUCGGCCUUAAGACGGUGCGCUAACCUCGCAAGAGGAGGCAGCCGGCCACGGCCGGGUCAGCGACUGGGGUG